GUUUAGUAGGCGUUCAUUUAUUACGUCAUUUAUAUAUUUUUGACGUUGACAUGACAGUCUGUUUGUGACCCAGCCGAAAUCUUUGCAGUGUUACUGAUAUUCACCGACCCUGUACCCUGAUUCAGUGCCACAGAUGGGGUUUCUUACAUAGUUAUAGCACAGCAAACAAAAAACGCUAUAACUCUCUCUUGCAUAUGAACCUGAAGUGAUAAAACCCGUAAUAUAGCUUUUACGAGGUUCGUAAAGAAGACAUUCACAACAAAGUAACGAGAUAAGAUUGAAGGUCGUAAGGACAACAAUGAAGACGGACAGCCAAACAGAAUAAUCCACAAUCCUGUAAAUGGAUUUGGAGAGACAAACAAAGUACUUACUUAAGACUACAAGUACUGAAUUACCAAACCACAGAACUGAACCUUAUCAUUUAAAAUAAAUAUGUCCUGUAUAAAUUAAACGUACAUUUGUUUA